rnacentral:rRNA from 1 species
UACGGGGGGGGCAAGCGUUGUUCGGAAUUACUGGGCGUAAAGGGCUCGUAGGCGGCCAACUAAGUCAUACGUGAAAUCCCUCGGCUUAACCGGGGAACUGCGUCUGAUACUGGAUGGCUUGAGAUUGGGAGAGGGAUGCGGAAUUCCAGGUGUAGCGGUGAAAUGCGUAGAUAUCCGGAAGAACACCGGUGGCGAAGGCGGUGUGCUGGGCCGUAGCUGACGCUGAGGCGCGACAGCGUGGGGAGCAAACAGG